rnacentral:rRNA from 1 species
UACGUAGGGGGCGAGCGUUGUCCGGAAUUACUGGGCGUGAAGAGAGCGUAGGCGGCACUACAAGUCUCACGUGAAAUACCCGGGCUUAACUUGGGGGUUGCAUGGAAAACUGUAGAGCUUGAGUACAGGAGAGGCAAGCGGAAUUCCUAGUGUAGCGGUGAAAUGCAUAGAUAUUAGGAGGAACACCAGUGGCGAAGGCGGCUUGCUGGACUGAAACUGACGCUGAGGCUCGAAAGCGUGGGGAGCAAACAGG